AUGUCCUACACAAGUUCUAGUGUUGGGGGAGAAGAAAGGUUCUUUGAUGUGUCGGUCAGCGAGCCAACAAGUCCAAAAACAGGAGCGCUCAACGCUGAUCAAGGAGGAGUUAACGCUGAGGCAUAUUCCACACCUAAGGCUCCUGAUACAACAAUGAAGUUUGAAAGUUUUGAGGAGGAUGUUGCUCACUACAAGCUAUAUGCACUCAGAAAUGGAUUUGGGGCAAGGAUAGAGUACACAAGAACACUGAAGGACAACACAGUGAGCAGAGCACUACUGGUGUGUGGGAAAGGCGGCAAGCCAAAGAAGAAGAAGGAGGAGGUGCAGGAUGUACUGAACCCAGAAGGCAUCAUGAAGAAGAGAAAAAGGCGUAAGGUUAAGAGGUCUGAGUGUCCAGCCCACCUUUACCUUAUGCACAAGGAUGCGUGGUGGAGAGUCGAACGCUUUGAUGACAACCACAACCAUCCACUGAUAAGAAAGCCAUCUCUGACAAAAUUUCUAGCCUCACAUAGGAACAUUCCCAAAGACGAGCAAGAUGUCUUACGGAUUCUACAUGAAUGCAACAUAGACACCGCAAGGCAAAUGCAACUAAUUUCAUGGUUCUAUCGUGAUGCUGAGAAUGUACCAUACACAACACAGGACCUUGCGAAUCAGCGUGCCAAGUUUCGCAAGGAGUACCUUAAUGUAGACGUGGGGAGCACAAUUGCAUACUUUGAGGAGCUCAGGGCAAAGGAUCCAGUUGAGGAGUUUGAGGAAAAAUGGUGGAAGAUGUUGGACGAUCAUGGGAAAAUGGACAACGAGCAUUUCCACUGGCUGUGGGAAAACAGGGAAUGCUGGGUCCCGGUGUACUACAUGCACGACUUCUUCCCAUUCUUGCAGACAACGGCAAGGAGCGAGGGAUUCAAUGCUGUGUUGAAGAAGUACGUCAACCCAAAUAACUCGCUAGUGGAAUUUGCAAAACAGUACACUGAGAUACAGGAGAAGGUGAUGGUGAGCGUGACAAAAGAGCACCUGGAAACAGUGUACAAAGAGGUGGAUACAUACUCCUUCAACCCACUCAAGUUACAGGUGCAGGGCCUCUACACGCAUAAUAUUUUCACCAAAUUCCAGAUGGAGAUGAAGGUGAAAACUGGCUACAGAUGUGACACGUUGCAACAUGGGUCAUUCAAAGUUGGCUCAGUCAUAGGAAUCAUACCAAAAUAUGGGGACAGGGACUACCAUGUGCAAGCAAACAUGGAUGAAGGGACAUAUUCAUGCACUUGGUGCAAGUUUGAGCGAGAUGGUAUACUAUGCGCACAUGUGUUACGAGUGAUGGACCAAAUCGGGGUCUACGAGAUACCUGAGAAGUAUAUUCUAAAGAGGUGGACUUGGGAUCAACAGGAAGAUCUAAUCAAACCUGAUUUUGAACAACCAACAGUUAGUAAGAGCAUGCCAGAGGAGGGAAAAAGCGUCAUGCGAUAUACAUCAAUGCUAAGGGACUUCAAGGCAACAGCCAAGGACGCUUGCCUCAUAGAUGAUGGGGCCAGGGUGGCCAAGAAGCACCUAUAUGCUUUCAAGGAAGAAAUGGACGCGCUAACAAAAAGCCAACGUAAGAAGGCCAGAAAGGACAAGGAAGAAGCUAGAGGAUCGUUCCAAUCACAACAAGAUCCAUGUUCUAUUCCAGUGGUCAUAACGAGUGAAGCUGUCCAUGCCGAACAGCAAACAAGCAUACCUAACAUGGACAACCCAAACACGGGACAAACAAGCAUCCCUGUGACAAUACAAGCUAGCGCCAACAUGCCAGCCGCUGCAUCCCAUUCCUCGAACACAAAAACGAUACUAGACCCUCCGAAGACUGUCACGAAAGGACGGUCGAAAACAAAGAAGCAUCAACAUCCCUUUGACAUUGCAAAACCAGCAAAACAAAGAAAGUGCAGUGUUUGCGGCAGCGUGCACCACGACAAGCGCAUGUGCACGUCUCCUCUAGCAAGAUGA
rnacentral:rRNA from 1 species